UUCCGGUUGAUCCCGCCGGACCCUACUGCUAUCGGGGUGGGACUAAGACAUGCGAGUCGAGCGUCUCUAGCUAUGUUGAGACGCGGCAGACGGCUCAGUAACACGUGGCUAACCUACCCUCAGGACAGGGACAAACCCGGGAAACUGGGGCUAAUACCCGAUAGGCGAGGAUGCCUGGAAUGGUUUCUCGCCCAAAGGACCUUGGAGACAUGCUUCCAUUGUCGCCUGAGGAUGGGGCCGCGUCCGAUCAGGUUGUUGGUGAGGUAACGGCUCACCAAUCCUAUAACCGGUACGGGCCGUGAGAGCGGUAGCCCGGAGAUGGGUACUGAGACAAGGACCCAGGCCCUACGGGGCGCAGCAGUCGCGAAAACUCCGCAAUGCACGAAAGUGUGACGGGGCUACCCCGAGUGCUCUCCGCUGAGGAAAGCUUUUCCCUGGUGUAACUAGCCGGGGGAAUAAGGAGAGGGCAAGACUGGUGUCAGCCGCCGCGGUAAUACCAGCUCUCCGAGUGGUAGGGAUGUUUAUUGGGCUUAAAGCGUCCGUAGCCGGCUUAGCAAGUUUCCUGUUAAAUUCAGCGACCUAAUCGUUGAGCCGCGGGAAAUACUACUAGGCUAGGAGGCGGGAGAGGUCAACGGUACUUCCGGGGUAGGGGUGAAAUCCUAUAAUCCCGGGAGGACCACCAGUGGCGAAGGCUGUUGACUAGAACGCGCUCGACGGUGAGGGACGAAAGCUGGGGGAGCGAACCGGAUUAGAUACCCGGGGUAGUCCCAGCUGUAAACGAUGCGAGCUAGUGUUGGGAUGGCUACGUGCC
rnacentral:rRNA from 1 species